AUUGAACGCUGGCGGCAUGCCUUACACAUGCAAGUCGAACGACGGCAGGGGGCAACUCCUGUCGAGUGGCGAACGGGUGAGUAACACAUCGGAACGUGUCCCGUCGUGGGGGAUAACCAGUCGAAAGACUGGCUAAUACCGCAUGAGAUCGAAAGAUGAAAGCGGGGGACCGCAAGGCCUCGCGCGACGGGAGUGGCCGAUGCCGGAUUAGCUAGUUGGCGGGGUAACGGCCCACCAAGGCGACGAUCCGUAGCUGGUUUGAGAGAACGACCAGCCACACUGGGACUGAGACACGGCCCAGACUCCUACGGGAGGCAGCAGUGGGGAAUUUUGGACAAUGGGCGCAAGCCUGAUCCAGCCAUGCCGCGUGUGUGAAGAAGGCCUUCGGGUUGUAAAGCACUUUCGGACGGAACGAAAUCGCGCGGGCGAAUAUCCCGCGUGGAUGACGGUACCGUAAGAAGAAGCACCGGCUAACUACGUGCCAGCCGCCGCCGUAAAAC
rnacentral:rRNA from 1 species